rnacentral:rRNA from 1 species
AGGACGAACGCUGGCGGCGUGCUUAACACAUGCAAGUGGAGCGACGAACCAGGGCUUGCCCUGGGGCAGAGCCGCGAACGGGUGAGUAACACGUGGGUUACCUGCCUCGAUGACCGGGACAACCCGAGGAAAACUCGGGCUAAUACCGGAUGUGCCCGCAAGGGGAAAGGAAGCUUCGGCCUCCGCAUCGAGAUGGGCCCGCGGCCCAUUAGCUUGUUGGUGAGGUAACGGCUCACCAAGGCUUCGAUGGGUAGCUGGUCUGAGAGGACGAUCAGCCACACUGGGACUGAGACACGGCCCAGACUCCUACGGGAGGCAGCAGUGGGGAAUCUUGCGCAAUGCGCGAAAGCGUGACGCAGCAACGCCGCGUGGGGGAAGAAGGCUUUCGGGUUGUAAACCCCUUUCAGUUGGGACGAAGCUUCUCCGGUGAAUAGCCGGAUGGAGUGACGGUACCUUCACAAGAAGCACCGGCUAACUACGCGCCAGCAGCCGCGGU